rnacentral:rRNA from 1 species
UGGGGAAUAUUGGACACUGGGGGCAACCCUGAUCCAGCCAUGCCGCGUGCGUGAAGAAGGCCUUAGGGUUGUAAAGCGCUUUCAGCGGGGACGAUGAUGACGGUACCCGCAGAAGAAGCCCCGGCUAACUCCGUGCCAGCAGCCGCGGUAAUACGAAGGGGGCUAGCGUUGUUCGGAAUUACUGGGCGUAAAGCGCACGCAGGCGGAUUAGUAAGUUAGAGGUGAAAUCCCGGGGCUCAACCUCGGAAUUGCCUUUGAUACUGCCAGUCUUGAGUCCGGGAGAGGUGAGUGGAAUUCCUAGUGUAGAGGUGAAAUUCGUAGAUAUUAGGAAGAACCCCAGUGGCGAAGGCGGCUCACUGGCCCGGAACUGACGCUCAUGUGCGAAAGCGUGGGGAGCAAACAGGAUUAGAUACCCGCGUAGUCC